UGCCGGUGUUUUAUCAGCGUGUGCCCCACCUCUUCCCAUUCCGAACAGAGCAGUGAAAGCGCGCUGAGCCGAUGAUACUUGCGCCCCACUAGGCGUCGGGAAAGUAGGAUACGCCGGCAU
rnacentral:rRNA from 4 species